rnacentral:rRNA from 1 species
GAUGAACGCUGGCGGCGCGCCUAAUACAUGCAAGUCGAGCGAACAGACGAGGAGCUUGCUCCUCUGACGUUAGCGGCGGACGGGUGAGUAACACGUGGAUAACCUACCUAUAAGACUGGGAUAACUUCGGGAAACCGGAGCUAAUACCGGAUAAUAUAUUGAACCGCAUGGUUCAAUAGUGAAAGACGGUUUUGCUGUCACUUAUAGAUGGAUCCGCGCCGCAUUAGCUAGUUGGUAAGGUAACGGCUUACCAAGGCAACGAUGCGUAGCCGACCUGAGAGGGUGGUCGGCCACACUGGAACUGAGACACGGUCCAGACUCCUACGGGAGGCAGCAGUAGGGAAUCUUCCGCAAUGGGCGAAAGCCUGACGGAGCAACGCCGCGUGAGUGAUGAAGGUCUUCGGAUCGUAAAACUCUGUUAUUAGGGAAGAACAAAUGUGUAAGUAACUAUGCACGUCUUGACGGUACCUAAUCAGAAAGCCACGGCUAACUACGUG